UACGAAGGGGGGCUAGCGUUGCUCGGAAUUACUGGGCGUAAAGGGAGCGUAGGCGGGUUAUCAAGUUGGGGGGUGAAAGCCCGGGGCUCAACCUCGGAAUUGCCUUCAAAACUGAUAACCUGGAGUAUGGAAGAGGUAAGUGGAACUCCGAGUGUAGAGGUGAAAUUCGUAGAUAUUCGCAAGAACACCAGUGGCGAAGGCGGCUCACUGGCCCGAUACUGACGCUGAGGCACGAAAGCGUGGGGAGCAAACAGG
rnacentral:rRNA from 1 species